AACCUUUACAAUGCACGCAAGUGUGAUAAGGGAAUCCCAAGUGCUCAAGCAUUGCUUGGGCUUUUGCCAUGUGUAAAUAGCAUGGCGAAUAAGUGGUGGGAAAGACUGGUGCCAGCCGCCGCGGUAACACCAGCGCCACAAGUGGCAAUCACGUUUAUUGGGCCUAAAGCGUCCGUAGCAGGUUUCGUAAAUCUCUUGUGAAAUUGCCAAGCUCAACUUGGCAAAAUGCAGGGGACACUGCGAGGCUUGAGACUGGGAGGAGUUAGAAGUAUUCCUUAGGGAGCGGUAAAAUGCUAUAAUCUAAGGAGGACUACCUGUGGCGAAGGCGUCUAACUAGAACGGAUCUGACUGUGAGGGACGAAAGCUAGGGGAGCGAACCGGAUUAGAUACCCGAGUAGUCCUAGCCGUAAACGCUGUGAGCUAGGUGUCGCGUAUUCUACGUGAAUGCGCGGUGUCGAAAGGAAGCUAUUAAGCUCACCGCCUGGGAAGUACGGUCGCAAGACUGAAACUUUAAGGAAUUGGCGGGGGAGCAC
rnacentral:rRNA from 1 species